CGGACAAGCCGGGGAAGGCUCCCGGAGCGGGGCUCUGCGCAGGCGGGCGGCGGGAGCCGUCCGGCCCCACAGCCCGCGGUGAGGGUGAGCGGUGCCCGCUCCUGCCGGCAGCUGCUCGAUCACCACUGCGAUAACCUCCCCAGAGGUCAAAGGCGCUGCGGGUUUAAAGCCUACUGGGGCAGGUAAAGAUGUAGUUCUAUUCUCCUGACAGGCUUCCUUGAUGGCUGGGUGCCUUGGGACACCACCCCCCGAGCCCCCCGACGCCUGUUUCGGCUUUAAAAGCUUUGCAGUGAAUUUGCGAGUUUGGCCCCAAUGGGUCUUCCCCCGCUUCCCUUCACCUUCUGUGGCAGAACGUGUUCCCUUCUUCUCCAGCAGCACACCACCUGCUCCAGCACCACUUUGCACCUUCCCUGCACAGCUGUCUCUCCCUGUCCUGGAAGCCAGCUGGUAGGUGUGAGGGGCUGCAAGAAAGCAAGUUUCUUUCUUUGCCUUCCAAGUAUGCAGGUUGUGCCU
rnacentral:lncRNA from 12 species